rnacentral:rRNA from 1 species
UACGAAGGGGGCUAGCGUUGCUCGGAAUCACUGGGCGUAAAGCGCACGUAGGCGGACUCUUAAGUCAGGGGUGAAAUCCUGGAGCUCAACUCCAGAACUGCCUUUGAUACUGAGAGCCUUGAGUUCGGGAGAGGUGAGUGGAACUGCGAGUGUAGAGGUGAAAUUCGUAGAUAUUCGCAAGAACACCAGUGGCGAAGGCGACUCACUGGCCCGAUACUGACGCCUGAGGCGCGAAAGCGUGGGGAGCAAACAGGG